rnacentral:sRNA from 1 species
AGAGUUAAACAGUACGUGAAAUUGUUGAAAGGGAAACGAUUGAAGUCAGUCGUACUAACGGGAAAUCAACCUUUUUGAGUCGUAAAUUUUGGAUUUUGAAGAGUUUAAACCUUCGGGUUCAAAUAUUUGCACUUUUUAGGCGUAAUUUCUCGUUCGGUAGGUUAACAUCGAUUUUGAACAUUAUAAAAUGAUCGGAGGAAUGUAGCUUCGAUCUUGUAUUGAAGUGUUAUAGCCUUUGGUAGAUGUAAUGAUCGAGAUCGAGGAUUGCAACGAAUACCCUUUUGGGCUAUCCGUCUGAUCUCUGAUACGUUGCCUCGGUAACGAAAGCGUGCUUACGGUAUUGAGGUAUUACGGUCAAAAGGUUAGAACGUGAUUACAUUCGUUAAGGAUGUUGACGUAAUGGCUUUAAACGACC